rnacentral:rRNA from 1 species
GACGAACGCUGGCGGCGUGCUUAACACAUGCAAGUCGAGCGGAAAGGCCCUUCGGGGUACUCGAGCGGCGAACGGGUGAGUAACACGUGAGUAACCUGCCCCAGACUUUGGGAUAACCCUCGGAAACGGGGGCUAAUACCGGAUACGACACAGCUUCGCAUGGGGUCUGUGUGGAAAGUUUUUCGGUUUGGGAUGGGCUCGCGGCCUAUCAGCUUGUUGGUGGGGUGAUGGCCUACCAAGGCGACGACGGGUAGCCGGCCUGAGAGGGCGACCGGCCACACUGGGACUGAGACACGGCCCAGACUCCUACGGGAGGCAGCAGUGGGGAAUAUUGCACAAUGGGCGGAAGCCUGAUGCAGCGACGCCGCGCGAGGGAUGACGGCCUUCGGGUUGUAAACCUCUUUCAGCAGGGACGAAGCGUAAGUGACGGUACCUGCAGAAGAAGCGCCGGCCAACUACGUG